UGACAUCUUUCAGAUACUUGGUGGCUUUUCGAAUAUGCAUACCCUUUAUGGCCUGGGCAGUUUCACGAGUAUUCUUAAAGCGAACACGAAGAUUUGAACCUCUUGAUUUGCAUGAUUUUGUGGGGUUUUCUGGUAAGUGGUCUGAGCUGAC